rnacentral:lncRNA from 1 species
GGGCGGCCGCCAUUGGCCGGGGGGCGGAGGGGAUCCAUCCUGAGGUGAUCUCCGCUGAGGUGAUCUCCCUCCUGGCCUCUGUGAGGGGGCAAUGUCCCAAGGGGCUGGGGUGAUCUACUCUGAGGGGACCUCCCUGAGGUGAUCUGCUCUGAGGUGACUUCCCUCCUGGGCUCUGCGAGGGGAGCCCGUCGUCCUGUUUGCGGGAGCAGUCGACGCCGGCCCCGGGGGCUGUUUCGCUUCCCGCGUUGGCCUCUAGCGCGUCAUUUUGCACGGGCGUGCAAAAAGAUAGUUGGAAUUGCCUUCAAACAAACAAGCAGCCAGGAUCAGCUGACACGAUCUUUCAGGCAUUAUGUGGAUACUAUUCAUGGCACAUUCACACUUUGUGCAGAUUUGGAAAUUCCUGUCACCAUCUUGUACGGUCCUCAAGUCCCUGUGUUCGAGGGCAUGAAAGAAAAAAGAGGUCAAGGGGUGCCGCCGUUCCGUCAAAGCCCCUCUGCUGCACACUCCGAGCUGGUGCAUUUUGGAUGCUUGCAGACAGGAGGGAAGGACCAGCUUUACCAUCUGGAGGGAGUUUGCGGUCAGACACGCCUGUGCCGAGUUCUUCUGCUAAAACAGAAUCCCUAACUGGAGAGGCGCCCCAAAUCUUCACGGGGGAAGAUGAGCUGGAUUUCUGCAGGAGCGAGCUCCUCAUCAUCGGGGUUGCCUUGGCACAAGCUUGGUUGCCUGCUGACUUCAAGUGCAAAGGCAGACGCUCCGAACACCAAGAGGUAGAUGAGCACAGAAGCCCAGGGGAAGGUCCUCAGGAGGAGGUCUUGAUUAAACCAGGGCCCAUCCCCUUCAUAACUUUGCAUGCUCACAGAAGCUGCCUUGCACUGAAUUGA